UACAGAGGUCUCAAGCGUUGUUCGGAUUCAUUGGGCGUAAAGGGUGCGUAGGCGGCGCGGUAAGUCGGGUGUGAAAUCUCGGAGCUUAACUCCGAAACUGCAUUCGAUACUGCCGUGCUUGAGGACUGGAGAGGAGACUGGAAUUACGGUGUAGCGGUGAAAUGCGUAGAUAUCGUAAGGAAGACCAGUGCGAAGGCGGGUCUCUGGACAGUCCUGACGCUGAGGCACGAAGGUCAGGGGAGCAAACGGG
rnacentral:rRNA from 1 species